rnacentral:rRNA from 1 species
CCUACGGGAGACAGCAGUGGGGAAUAUUGGGCAAUGGAGGCAACUCUGACCCAGCAACGCCGCGUGAAUGAUGAAGGUCUUCGGAUUGUAACGUUCUUUUCUAAGGGAAGAAGAAAGUGACGGUACCUUGGGAAUAAGCCUCGGCUAACUACGUGCCAGCAGCGGCGGUAAUACGUAGGAGGCAAGCGUUAUCCGGAAUGACUGGGCGUAACGGGUGCGUAGGUGGUUUGACAAGUUAGUAGCGCAACUCCGGAGCUAAACUUCGGAACUACUACUAAAACUGUUGGACUUGAGUGCAGGAGGGGCAAUCGGAAUUCCUAGUGUAGCGGUGGAAUGCGUAGAUAUUAGGAGGAACACCAGUGGCGAAGGCGGAUUGCUAGACUGUAACUGACACUGAGGCACGAAAGCGUGGGGAGCAAACAGGAUUAGAUACCCUUGUAGUC